rnacentral:lncRNA from 1 species
UCUAUGAUGUGAAAACAUAGAUGUUUCAGUACUUCUGUUGACACCUACUUUAUUCUCACACAGCUCCAUCCACUCCUACACGCUCAACCAUCAACCACAUAUCUCAUGUCUCCACAACUCUCCCAAACCUCUCUACAACAUCUAACAUCCCCACAACAAAAUCAACCCUCAGACCUCAUGUCUCCACAACGCUCCCAAACCUCUCUACAACAUCUAACAUCCCCACAACAAAAUCAACCUCCAGAUCUCAUGUCUCCACAACCAUUUCAAACCUUUCUGGAAACUCAUCAUCAAAACCAGACCUUGUCAACCAACUGGUGUGGAUCGGUGUUGGUCUGGUAGUCAUGGUGACGGUGGGAGGACUGGCUCUGCUCCUGUUGUACAGAAAGAGAAGAAGAAUCAGGAAAUCAGCAAACUACGCUGUAUGUAAAUCUGUUUGCACUUUAAAACCCCAUAAUGAUUGUUUCAAUAUCACGUCCUGAAAGCUAGAAUAUAUUUCCCUCACCCGUCCACUAGGGGCAGUGUUGGUGGUGGAGGAGACUGGAGACCAGAAAGGGUGCAUACAGUAUAUUUAUUGUUGGCCGAAUCAACUUUCAUUGACCUUUAUUUAAACACGGAUUAAUUCAAUUUCUUCUCACUAAUCGCCUCUACACAGAACACAUGUUAAAACAAAACGUAUGUAUGUAGGAGGAAAAACAGCAGCAUUUUAAAAAUCAUUAUACAGAGAAACAACAGAGACAUCCAUCCAUCACAUGCAGACACUGUUUUCUUCAAUCCAACUUUCAUCCAAGGUCCAGUUUCAUUGAUGGAUUUUGGUCAUGCCCCCCCGACCCCGAAAUAACGUGAAAUGUCUAGAAAUGAACAAACAUCCUGGGAUCCGUUGACCCUGACCCCAGAUAUACAGGACAAAACGUUCACCCUUAUAUUCCAGCCUGAGGCAAGUUUUCAUCUUUUUCCACUUAUUUUGUGUUUUUUGUAAAUAUACGAAUGUAGACAGAGAUGCCCAUCGUCACUCCUGAGAGAAAAUACAAUCACAGCAUCAAAUGGUUUCAGGAUAGAAGGUGCUGAUUGUCUGCUGAUCUCAGAUUUGGCUUUGAUGGGGUCCAAGUGCAGGAUAUUAUGAUCUGUUUCUGGAUAGAGUUUAUUGGGGGUCA